UACGGAGGGUGCAAGCGUUGUCCGGAAUCACUGGGCGUAAAGGGCGCGUAGGCGGCUCAUGAAGGCUGUGGUGAAAGUCCGGGGCUCAACCUCGGAUCGGCCGUGGCGACUCGUGGGCUGGAGCACUGUAGAGGCGGGUGGAAUUCCGGGUGUAGCGGUGGAAUGCGUAGAUAUCGGGAGGAACACCUGUGGCGAAAGCGGCUCACUGGACCAUAACUGACGCUGAUGCACGAAAGCUGGGGGAGCAAACAGG
rnacentral:rRNA from 1 species